rnacentral:rRNA from 1 species
AACGAACGCUGGCGGCAGGCCUAACACAUGCAAGUCGAGCGAGCAUUUCGGUGCUAGCGGCGGACGGGUGAGUACCGCCUGGGAACGUGCCCUUUUCUGCGGAAUCGUUCUGGGAAACUGGGGGUAAUACCGCAUACGCCCUUUUGGGGUAAGAUUUCUCGGGGCAGGAUCGGCCCUUGUUGGUUUCGGUAGUUGGUGGGGUACUGGCACGCCAUGCCGAGGUUGCAUAGCUGGUUUGGGAGGAUGAUCAGCCAGGCUGGGGCUGAGACACGGCCCAGACUGCGACGCGAGGGAGCAGUGGAGAAUCUAAGACAAUGGAGGCAAACGUGAUCAAGCCACGCCGCGGAAGUGAUGAAGGCCUUAGUGUAGCAAAGCUCCUUCAGCUGGGGAGAGAAUGACGGUACCAGGAGAAGAAGCCCCGGCUAACUCCGUG